UGUUGAGAAGCUGCUGCUGUGUGACAUUAAACAAUGAAAGCGCCUCAUGUUCCUUAAAUGCCAGGCUUUUACAAUACCUACGGUAAACUGGGACCGUUGUACACAGAGGCAAUUGCUUUGUAAAUGAAGCAAAAGCCUCUGGGCCCCUGACGUUAACCCUGCAGCUCUGAACACACACACACACACAUUUUCAUACAGCCGUUGAUGACAUUGUGAAUGUACAUGAUUAUAUUUAAUCAUGCAGCAAAAUAAUUCACACCUGUUGAUAAAUAUCAGUGUCUUUAACAACCUGUUUCAGUCAUAACUUGAACAUAUACAUACGUACAUUCAAGACAUACAUAAUUCCAAAUAGUUAAAUAUUUACUCCUUUCAGCCAUAAACACAUCAGUCUUAUUUUCAUCCAGUUUUUGGGCUUGACAUUUUGAUUUGAAAUGUCACAACUUCAAAUUCUAACUUAAAUAUAAGGAAGAUACUAUGAAUCACCACAUGGUGCCUUUAGAGCCCCAGAAAACUGACAGGAGAAAUGGCAACAGAGAGCAUUAGUCAGGUUUACAUAAAGUUACUGUAUAUAAACUUAUGUUAUUGCCCAAGGACACACAGGCAUGUAACUGGAAAUGAUCUUUAUAGAAGGGAAUCAAACUCUACCUACUAAUCUGCAAAUAAAUAUAUGCAUAUAUAUAUAUAUAUACAUAUAUUUAUGCAUAUAUGUUUAUAUACAUAGGAGCAUUUUUUGUAAUGAUGUUACACUAGUGGUGCAGAGUAACCUAUGUUACAUUGUUACUGUGUUAGUCCGGUCUAUUAUUAGAAGAGAAACGUUUCUCGUCCUCAUUCAACACGAUGAACCAGCGCUUCUCUGUUAACUUGAAAGGAAAACUGACAUCCUGACCAAACUUUGAUGAAACCACAGUCACAACCAGGGGAUUUUGGGUCAACUAAUGAGAACAGAGAGCGCCACUCUGCCACAGGGAGAAAAGGAUUUGCAUGUAUUCAAACAGUGCUGGAGUUAAUUGCACAACUUAUUAUUCUGAAAAUGACAUAGUUAGUCAGCGUUCGUUGUCACAGGGUGCUGAGCUAGCUUUGUCCUCUUUUAUAAUCCAGUGGAAACAAAGUUUAUUAAUAUGGUAACACGAUGUGUGUGUUAACACUAGAAACUUUACACUUUACCGAACAAAGAAAUCUAUAACAGAAAAACGAGUUUGACUUCCUUCUUAUAACAAAAGGAUAUAAGGGAAAUAUAUAUUUUUUAUAUAUAAAAUAAUAUUUAAAUGUAAUAAAGAAGUCUAUUUGAAUUUAGCUUUGAAUUUAGCUUUUUAGCUGUUAUUGUUGUUGUAUCAGCAUGAAUAAAACACAGUUUAAAAACCUGUACCCUUAAGAGUUUCAAAACUUUUCACAAGAGGUCAUAUCUUUUUUUUCAUUCACUAUAAUUUAUAUUAACAAAAUAAUACUUAAAUGGUGUUAAUUUUCUUCUUCUAUCUCACAGCUGCCUUCAUGGAAACGAUGAUGACUUGUGAGCACAUUAUCCAGCUUCAUGUCCAUGUGUUGAACCUUCAUCAUUAGCAUGUGGAAAAUACUGCAGUUCUCCGUUGUCACUAAAACACAGAAGGUGACACUUGUUGGUGUUGUUCCCCCAGUGUCCAAAAGGUGGCGCAUGAGACACAUCAAACACACACUGGAGUACUGGCGGUGAGUGAAGAGUCCCGUCCUUCGAAGACGCACUUACUGCACUGUUACACUGUUGUUAGAAGAGUUUGGAUUGUUGUCGUCGACAGACAACAGUCAGACACUGAACAGUUCGACUGAAUGACGUCUGUGUUAAAGACGAUAACUGGAAAAAACUGGUACAAGUUAAAGAGGAUUACAGAAGUACGAAACGUUUCUUAGUUUGAAGAUAUUUUUGAAGAGAACAUUCUUUCUUUCUUCUAUUUUUUUUUUUGCAGAGAUAAAUAUACACUCCUAACCGCAGGUGAGGUAGGGAAAAUAUUUAACCCAACUCCAAUCUAAAUUUGCGACAACAUUAAAUUUUGUUACCGUAGUAAUCGUAAUAAAUGUCAACGUGUCCUCACAAUGAUGGGUUUGGACCGAGACCCGUCCACAACCCAUCAAAAAUUAAUUUACACACAUUUUAACAACAUUAUCUAAAAACAAUAACCAAACACAGAUGAUGUGUCAUCUCAUCUGUACUCCACUGCACCUCACCAUAACUCAGACCUCAAUAAGGACCUCCUGCCCCCCCAAACCUUCUAAAUAACAGAUAGAAAAAUCUUUCUCACACUCUGUGACUUUCUACAUGUGUACAGUUUCAUAAAACACUAA